AUGAAGCCUGAAGUUACUGCUCAUUUGCCAAAAUCAGAAAGUACUAAACCAAUCACAAUGACCACGCAAGCCUGUAAGAGGCGGAGGUCAGUUUAUAUAAGCAGUGGGUCAGAAGAUUCUGGUACAGAUUCAGAGGUUGAGGGAAGUAAACGGUCUCAAAAAUCUGGGACGACGUCAAUAUCUUCAUCUGAGCAUCGACCAUCUUCUAACAACAAGGCUGGAAGCAUGAAUGCUAGCAAGACAAGGGUCUGUAGAAAUAUUCUGGGGAAGCUCAUGGAUCACCCGGGUGGUUGGCUGUUCCAUAAACCGGUUGAUCCAGACCUAUUUGGCAUUCCUGAUUACUUUGAUGUUAUCCGCAAUCCAAUGGACUUGGGCACUGUCAAGAAGAAACUCACAAACAAGAAUUAUUCAAGCACCGAUGAGUUUGCAGCAGAUGUGAGACUAACAUUUUCAAAUGCAAUGACGUAUAAUCCUCCUGGAAAUCAGGUCCACACAGUAGCUGAACAGCUGAAUAUAAUGUUUAAUUCGGAAUGGACAUCAUAUGAAAGAAAAUGGAGCGACAGAAAUCUGAAGCCAGUGCAGUUGCCGAUGAAGGUAAUUAAGGCUCGUGUGGCUGUCAAUUCAAAGCCAGUGGUUUCUGGAGGGUUGGUCGCAUGCUCAAAUUCAUCUGCAAAGAAGACAUUGACAAAUGCAAUAUCCUCCAAAGUAAAAAUUAAGUUUUGUGUGCGUGGAUCGGGGCAGACCUUAUCCAAAGGUGUGAAUGAGACACCUUUGCAAGCAGCUGGUAGCAAGGAGGGCUCUUUAAAUCAUUCUAUCCCAUGCACCAAGGAGAGCGCUAACACAACUAAGGUCCAGUCAAGUGAGCACAGAGUUCAGUCGAUUGGAAAUGAAUCACGGUCUUGCAGUGAUACUUCAACUUCGCCUCUUUCUUCCUAUGGACAAGGAGACGGAAGUUAUUUACAGGCUGAACCUUUGUCACCAACCAAGGCCCUGCGUGCAGCAAUGCUUAAGAGGCGUUUUGCUGGAACGAUUGUGAAGGCACAGCAGAAGGCACUUCUGGACCAUGGGCAGCAAAUAGACCCUGCAAAAUUACAGUUGGAAAAGGAGAGGCUGGAAAAAAGGCAGCAAGAAGAGAAAGAAAGGAUUGAGGCCCAGGUGAAGGCCGCUGAAGCUGCUGCACAGUUCAAGUUAGAUGAAGAACUAAGGAAGAAGAGGGAGCGAGAAAGGGAGGCAGCACGGCUGGCACUACACAUGAUGAAGAAGACCGUUGACAUUGACAACAGCGACUUCCUAAAGGACCUGGAAAACAUCAGCAAAAAGUGGGAACUAAACCCUCCUGCCAAGCUAAUUGUGGAUUUCGUCGACGGGAUGGAGCUCCCACCUGGCCUCGGAAGCCCGCUGGAGAGGCUCGGGCUUUUCAUGAAGAGAGACAUCGAAGAAGAGGUCGAAGAUGAAAUGGAGGACAGCGUAUCACCACCCUCCGUGGAUGUCGACAGCGUAUCACCACCCUCCGUGGAUGCCCACAGCAUAUCACCACCCUCCGUCGAUGUCAACAGCAUAUUACCACCCGCUGUGGAUAUGGAUAUUGACGGGGAGGAAGGAGAGAUCGGCUGCUGUGGGUAG
rnacentral:rRNA from 1 species